AUUGAACGCUGGCGGCAGGCCUAACACAUGCAAGUCGAACGGUAACAGGAAACAGCUUGCUGUUUCGCUGACGAGUGGCGGACGGGUGAGUAAUGUCUGGGAAACUGCCUGAUGGAGAGGGAUAACUACUGGAAACGGUAGCUAAUACCGCAUAACGUCGCAAGACCAAAGAGGGGGACCUUCGGGCCUCUUGCCAUCGGAUGUGCCCAGAUGGGAUUAGCUAGUAGGUGGGGUAACGGCUCACCUAGGCGACGAUCCCUAGCUGGUCUGAGAGGAUGACCAGCCACACUGGAACUGAGACACGGUCCAGACUCCUACGGGAGGCAGCAGUGGGGAAUAUUGCACAAUGGGCGCAAGCCUGAUGCAGCCAUGCCGCGUGUAUGAAGAAGGCCUUCGGGUUGUAAAGUACUUUCAGCGGGGAGGAAGGGAGUAAAGUCAAUACCUUUGCUCAUUGACGUUACCCGCAGAAGAAGCACCGGCUAACUCCGUGCCAGCAGCCGCCGUAAGAC
rnacentral:rRNA from 1 species